GACGAACGCUGGCGGCGUGCCUAACACAUGCAAGUCGAGCGAGAAUCUCUUAAUUGAUUCCUUCGGGAUGAUUUUGAGAGAGGAAAGCGGCGGACGGGUGAGUAACGCGUGAGUAACCUGCCUUCAGGAGGGGGACAACAUUCCGAAAGGGAUGCUAAUACCGCAUAACAUUGCUUUAUCGCAUGGUAGAGCAAUCAAAGAUUUAUCGCCUGAAGAUGGACUCGCGUCUGAUUAGAUAGUUGGUGGGGUAACGGCUCACCAAGUCAACGAUCAGUAGCCGGUCUGAGAGGAUGAACGGCCACAUUGGGACUGAGAUACGGCCCAGACUCCUACGGGAGGCAGCAGUGGGGAAUAUUGGGCAAUGGGGGAAACCCUGACCCAGCAACGCCGCGUGAAGGAAGAAGGCCUUCGGGUUGUAACUUACUUUAGUCAGGGACGAAGGACGUAGACGGUACCGU
rnacentral:rRNA from 1 species